UAAUACGUAGGGUGCGAGCGUUAAUCGGAAUUACUGGGCGUAAAGCGGGCGCAGACGGUUACUUAAGCAGGAUGUGAAAUCCCCGGGCUCAACCCGGGAACUGCGUUCUGAACUGGGUGACUCGAGUGUGUCAGAGGGAGGUAGAAUUCCACGUGUAGCAGUGAAAUGCGUAGAGAUGUGGAGGAAUACCGAUGGCGAAGGCAGCCUCCUGGGAUAACACUGACGUUCAUGCCCGAAAGCGUGGGUAGCAAACAGGAUUAGAUACCCUGGUAGUCCACGCCCUAAACGAUGUCAAUUAGCUGUUGGGCAACUUGAUUGCUUAGUAGCGUAGCUAACGCGUGAAAUUGACCGCCUGGGGAGUACGGUCGCAAGAUUAAAACUCAAAGGAAUUGACGGGGACCCGCACAAGCGGUGGAUGAUGUGGAUUAAUUCGAUGCAACGCGAAGAACCUUACCUGGUCUUGACAUGUACGGAAUCCUCCAGAGACGGAGGAGUGCCUUCGGGAGCCGUAACACAGGUGCUGCAUGGCUGUCGUCAGCUCGUGUCGUGAGAUGUUGGGUUAAGUCCCGCAACGAGCGCAACCCUUGUCAUUAGUUGCCAUCAUUCAGUUGGGCACUCUAAUGAGACUGCCGGUGACAAGCCGGAGGAAGGUGGGGAUGACGUCAAGUCCUCAUGGCCCUUAUGACCAGGGCUUCACACGUCAUACAAUGGUCGGUACAGAGGGUAGCCAAGCCGCGAGGCGGAGCCAAUCUCACAAAACCGAUCGUAGUCCGGAUUGCACUCUGCAACUCGAGUGCAUGAAGUCGGAAUCGCUAGUAAUCGCAGGUCAGCAUACUGCGGUGAAUACGUUCCCGGGUCUUGUACACACCGCCCGUCACACCAUGGGAGUGGGGGAUACCAGAAGUAGGUAGGGUAACCGCAAGGAGUCCGCUUACCACGGUAUGCUUCAUGACUGGGGUGAAGUCGUAACAAGGUAGCCGUAGGGGAACCUGCGGCUGGAUCACC
rnacentral:rRNA from 1 species